CAGCGCCCUCUACCCGCCCAACUUCACACAGGCGUUCGGCCAGAUGUUCGCCGGCAUGCUGCCCGCGCCUGGCUUCCAGCUGCCGCCGAACGGGAAAGUCAGUGAUCUGUUCGCCAAGAAGCCGCCGCCCCGGCCGCAGCUCAGCGCGGCCGAGGUGGCCGCCGUCCGCCAGAUGAUCAACGGCUACCGGGAGUCGGCCAAUUUCCUGCGCCGCUCGGCGGACGAGCUGGAACUGCUCAUUCAGCAGUCUGGCCACUAGGCGGCGGCACGGCCGCUUUGCCUCGGGUCGACGAGCUUGAAACAAUUGCGCUCAGGUCAUCUCUCGCGGCUGGCGAGCAGCCGCGACAGGUGGAGGCGGCGUUCACGGCUGAUCGGUCUCAACCCGACCUGGGAGACGUUCGAGGCGAGAUGUGAAGCGCUUCGCAGCGCUUGGCGCGAAGCCCGCCGGUGCUCGCGGCGUGGGCAGUGUGCCCACUGCCAGCGAGAUGUGUUCGUGAUCUCGCCAUUCAGUGUGGAGCGGGCACUGGCUGUCCGGAGAGGCGCGGCCGGUGUCUGACCAAUCAGAGUGAGCCGCGGCGCCCGGGCAGCCAAUCCCAAACCGUCACGAUAUAUCAUUCGGCACCGUCCCCACCUUGUCGGAUCAGUGUUUGUGUUGCUUUCUAGACGUGCGCGUAGCUAUAGGUGUUGGCUGGUCCGGCCAGCCGUUAUUUUGAAAUUGCGGGCGGUCCGCAAGUCCCGAACAGCACGGCCAUUCGUCUCGACAGGUUGCAGUCUUCCCAUGACAAACGCAGGUCAGUUCGGCUAUAUAGUCCGUGUGCUACAGUACAGCAGGCGCCUCGCCGGGGCGUGGCGGCGGCAGCGUUUCCUUGGUGUCGUGUUCUCACCGCCGCGGUACCUGGGCGCCCCGGAACGGCCGGCGCGAGGACCAUGGGGGCCCGACCGCCCCUGCCUGCGCCGAGUUGGUGUGAUGUACCUCCGUGCUGGGCGCACCAGCGCGCCAGCGCCGGUCUAGUCCAAGCAUUGGUCGGUGUGAGUCAGUUACCUCCGUGUUAUCAUUUUCCUGCGGCAAAGAAAUACAAGUAUUUUCGUGCUGA